AUUGAACGCUGGCGGAAUGCUUUACACAUGCAAGUCGAACGGCAGCACGGACUUCGGUCUGGUGGCGAGUGGCGAACGGGUGAGUAAUGUAUCGGAACGUGCCCAGUCGUGGGGGAUAACGUAGUGAAAAUUACGCUAAUACCGCAUACGAUCUAUGGAUGAAAGCGGGGGAUCGCAAGACCUCGCGCGAUUGGAGCGGCCGAUAUCAGAUUAGGUAGUUGGUGGGGUAAAGGCCCACCAAGCCAACGAUCUGUAGCUGGUCUGAGAGAACGACCAGCCACACUGGAACUGAGACACGGUCCAGACUCCUACGGGAGGCAGCAGUGGGGAAUUUUGGACAAUGGGCGAAAGCCUGAUCCAGCCAUUCCGCGUGCAGGAUGAAGGCCCUCGUGUUGUAAACUGCUUUUGUACAGAACGAAAAGGUUUCUACUAAUACUAGGAGCUCAUGACGGUACUGUAAGAAUAAGCACCGGCUAACUACGUGCCAGCCGCCGCAGUAA
rnacentral:rRNA from 1 species